UGGGGAAUUGUUCGCAAUGGGCGCAAGCCUGACGACGCAACGCCGCGUGGAGGAUGAAGAUCUUCGGGUCGUAAACUCCUUUCGAUCGAGACGAAUGGCCCCGGGGUGAAUAAUCCCGGGGAGUGACGGUACCGAGAGAAGAAGCCCCGGCUAACUCCGUGCCAGCAGCCGCGGUAAUACGGGGGGGGCAAGCGUUGUUCGGAAUUACUGGGCGUAAAGGGCUCGUAGGCGGCCAACUAAGUCAGACGUGAAAUCCCUCGGCUUAACCGGGGAACUGCGUCUGAUACUGGAUGGCUUGAAUUCGGGAGAGGGGUGCGGAAUUCCAGGUGUAGCGGUGAAAUGCGUAGAUAUCUGGAGGAACACCGGUGGCGAAGGCGGCAUCCUGGACCGAUAUUGACGCUGAUGAGCGAAAGCCAGGGGAGCAAAC
rnacentral:rRNA from 1 species